UCAUCUCUAUCUCAAGCAAGAAAAGAGAUAUUGGCUUCUAGGGUUUCCCUCCAUUCUACAUCAAUUUGGAGGAUAUUUUCACAAAGGCUCUCGGCAAGGAUUUUUCUGUCAUUUCACUUGCAAGUUGGGCAUUACGGACCUUCAUACUCCAACUUGAGAGGGAGUAUAAAGCGUGAUUAUAGGGAUUUAGCUAUAAUUGAGAAGAUUAUUUCCUUUAUCAAAUGUUUUGUCCUAGAUUGAUUUCUUUCCAUGCAUGGUAGGAUAUGGAUGUAAUAUAUACACCAAUAUAGUGCAUAUUCAAUCAAUAAGAAAUUACUUCAUUACAUAUGAAACCUAAUAUGGUAUCAGAGCUAGAAUUUCUUCUACCACUUUUUUUGUUUUUGAGAUUUUCAUCAACUCUUUCUGUGUUCUGCAAAAAUGAAAGCAGAUCUCUAAUUUCUUCUAUUUUAGCAUAAUUCUGGAAAGUGCUAAUCCAGUACAAGUUCAGUUCCUGUCUUCAGAAAAUGGCGACAGCAACAUCAGAAUUCGUCCUUGACUCUCUGUAAUAAAAUUUCUCUACUCUAUCAGAUUUUGGUUCUCUGAACUUUCAGAGAUCUUUAUUGAUGGUUAGAGCCUCCACUAUUUCUUGUUUCUCCAUCAGAUCUGGUGAAAUCUGAAGAUCCGCCAGUUUGCUGCCAUUGAGAACAUCAUCCCUUUCUGCAAUAUGAACCUUACCAAGUUUGCCGUACAAAACAAGUCUCCUCAACUCUAAAAGCAUUGGUGGUGUCUACUUUUACUAGUUCCACCAGCAACAUGUUGCUGCAUUGUCAUGCAAUAAAAUCUUGUUUUGAAUCUAAUGAUGCAGUCUUUUGUUCUUUGAUUGAUGCAUAUUCUAGAUCUAGUGAUGUUAGAUUUUCCCGCCAAGUUUUCAAUCAACUUUACUUACCAAAUGCCAUUUGUUUCACAUCUAUGAUCAGUACACUGGCACGAAAUGGAAUGAGAAUGGAAUGUCUGGUGAUGUUUCGUGCUGAUCUAAUGGAUGCUCAUAUGUAUGGAUUCAAGAGAUCUGUUCUGCAAGGCUGUUCAUCAUGGUUUUUCUCUCCAGUACACUCUUUAAUAUUCAAGAUGAACUAUUGUUGAUCUCCAUAGUCUAUCUUGAGGGGGUGUGUUAGAAAUACAUUCCAGUUAGUUCCAGAAUAUUCCAGCUCAUGUUUAGUUGUUAGUUAGUUAGUGAUUAGCCUAUUAAUAAGUCAAUUAGUCAGUUAUUUACUCUUCUUUUUCUCUAUAAAUAGAGCCAUUGUAUUCAUUAAUAAAUCAUUGGAUUAUAUUCUCCAAUCCCUCCUUCUAUGGAGGUUUGUCUUCCUCCUAUUAUGGAAUGUUUUCUCAAUUAAUAAAUUCUAAUAGAUCUCGUGCUUUGUGUGUAUAGUCCAUGUUUAUUAUGUGAUGGCUAUGUAUUUUUUGGGUUUUCUUGACAUUAAGAAUGGGAUUUUAGGAUAUGAUUGGUAUUGUUCUAAAGAUGUGACGAUUCAUGAAUAUUAAAAAGGAAAAUUUGGAGGUGGAUGUAAUUCUUGUUUCAUUUCAUUGUUCUUUUUGUUAAGACUUGGGGUCCAUCUUAAUAAGGUCAACUUUGUUAAGAGGAGAAGCCCAAAAUCUUUAUAAGUUGGUCCUUAUUUCGGUAUUUUUACCGAUGUGGGAUUUAUAUCUCUUAACAUGUCCCGCAAGAUGGUGGCUCGUUUGAGCAAACCAAUCUUGAAAUCCGUGUGCUCAUUUUUUAGAGUCUUAACCGGAUCGAAUUGCUCGUUGGAAAUUAAUGGGCUCUGAUAUCAUGUUAAGACUUGAGGUCCAUCUCAAUAAAGUCAACUUUGUUAAGAGGAGAAGCCUAAGAUCUUUAUAAGGUGGUCAUUAUUUCGGUAUUUUACUGAUGUGGGAUUUAUAUCCCUUAACAUGUCCCCGCAAGAUGGUGGCUCGUUUAAGCAGACCAAUUUUGAAAUUCGUGUGCUCAUUUUUUAGAGUCUUAACCAGAUCAAAUUGCUCGUUGGAGUUUAAUGGGCUCUGAUACCAUAUUAAAAUUUGUGGUCCAUCCUAAUAAGGUCAACCUUGUUAAGAGGAGAAACCCAAUAUCUUUAUAAGUUGGUCAUUAUUUCGGAAUUUUUACCGAUGUGGGAUUUAUAUCCCUUAACACUUUUUACUGGAAUCAAAUACGUGAUUCUUUUUUCUGGAUUCCAGACUUCCAGUUGGCUUUUUGUUUUUAACAACAAUUAAAUUUAUGCUUAUUUUCUUCUCACAAUUAUGUUAGCAUAACUUGUUUCUAAUUGGAAGAAGCUUUGAUUUUUAUUUUCUUCAACCAUCAAAAUAUGAAUUUAUAUCAUGCAGGAUUGAUUGUGAAACGGUGGAAGGCCUAGAAAUUAAACAAUGGUUACGAUGGUCGUGGGAAGAAGCUCUGAAUUCCAAUGUAUGCUCUUACUCGGAGUGAACGUAUUGACUUUGCUGGUUCGGUUGCUGCCCUAUUAAGGAAGAUGGUUUUUGGAAGUGAAAUUACUGUCGCAGAUAAGUUUGUUUUGUUCUUGACAUCCUUAUUUUGUAUUGGACAGUUCUAUGUCGAAUAAUUAUCCUACUUAAAUCUGUACUGAUUUUUUGUUUAUUAUGUUAUCUAGUACUGCCAAACAUGUAGGUUGGAUUGAUAGAUGAAUGGGUGCUCGCUUCUGUUUGUUUUAUGCGUGAUGUUUAGUUAUUUUAAGUAGAUUAUAUGUGUGCUGGUUUAAGCUGGGAUAUUGUGACAAUUCACCGAGGUCAUGUUUGGCACUAAUGGAGUAUCUGGCAGGGAGGGUUGGAUAAUGUUUGUUAAGAAGAAGUAAGAUAAAAUUUUGUUUAUUAUGUUAUCUAGCACUGCCAAACAUGUAAUAGCAGUUCAAUUAUAUAUGCCUAUAUGAAAUCUGCCUCAUAGACACGGAGAAUUGGUCUGUAAUACUGUUCAAAUAAUCUUUCUAUGCGUGAUGUUUUGUGUUUUUAUCCUUUCCUCUAUUUCAGAUAUCAGUGAAAAUUUCUAGUAGCUAUGAUUUGAAUACACUUAUUUGAACUAUGACUAAGGUGAUUUCCAAAGGCCAGGUUAUGUAAACAUCGUAAUUGUGUUGUGGGCUUUCCCCCCUGGUGGAGAGGUUGUGAAAAUAUCCACGAUUAAAUGUGACACCUUUUAUGAUUUAUUCAGAUUAUUAUUGGAACUAUGAUCCCAUUGACUAAAACUUCAUUAUCAAUUCAAAAAUUUCAUGUUUAAUAAACUAUUAAUUCUGACUUCUAGUUGGCCUACUAGGAUUUUAAGAAAAUAUCUUGCACUCUGAGUUUGCAAUGAUCAUUCAUAAUAUUAUGCUAUGAUCACUGUGUCUCAUGUUCAGGAUUAAUUAAAAAGAAAGGUUUGAAAGGAUCAUUUGCUGAUGCAGGGUCUUCUGCUAAGGUUGCUCUAACAAAAGGUUGGAAAGUUGACAUAAGUGCUUUUGGAAAAGCUAGAGAAUUGGGAUCUGGUAGCUGUCAAAGUACGGGGGCAUUUUGUUUUUGAGACUAGCUGGAGAUUUACAUGGUGCAAUUUGGACUUUGUCUACUCAAAUUUUUGUAUGUAGUGAUUGUUCUUUUUUUUUUCCUUUUUUUUUUU